UUACAUGAUCAGCAUUGAAUUGUGAAUAACAACUUGCGGUCGUGGCGGAAUCGGCAGACGCGCUAGGUUGAGGGCCUAGUGGGAGUUA
rnacentral:tRNA from 1 species